AAGAGAUUUAAUGGACUCACAGUUCCACAUGGCUGGGGAGGUCUCACAAUCAUGGUAGAAGGCGAAGGAGGAGCAAAGGCACAUUUUACAUGGUGGCAGGCGAGAGAGCCUGUGUAAGGGAACUGUCCUUUAUAAAACCUUCAGGUCUUGGGAGACUUAUUCACUAUCAUGAGAACAGCAUGGGGAAAACCUGCCCCUGUGAUUCAAUUACCUCCCACCACGUCCCUCCCAUGACAUGCAGGGAUUAUGGGAGCUACAAUUCAAGAUGAGAUUUGGGUGGGGACGCAGCCAAACCAUAUCAAGGGGUGUGAGUGUGGGUGUGGGUGUGUGUGUAAUGUACGUAGUGGUGUGCUACUGCAUAUCUCAACUCCAUUCAGUGAUGUCACAUUGGCAGCUUGAAAUUGGCCAGAGUGAGAGUAUUUAUAUCACAGAAAUUGGCAAACACUGCAAAUCAGAAUCUUUUCCCCUGAAGAGCCUGUUUACCAGCACACCACUGGGAAUCCAGCAAUGAGCAACUCAGUCCCUCCCUUUGAACUUACAUUUUGGUGUGAUGGCGCUCCAGGACUGAUCUUAGUGUCCUCAUUGCUGAGGGGCAGCUGCUGGGCAGGGCCUGCUUUGGUGAUAGAGGUUGUAAAUUGCCCUCAAAUCACAGGAGCUCUCCAUUCCAGCAAGUGAGUUGUUACCAUGCACCAGGAAGAGAGGAAAUGGGACAAGGAGGAAAUUCAGUUAAUUGAGAGCUGACUUUGCCAUUGAGUAACCCUAUUCAGGAUGACUCAGGCAUCUGGGAGGAAAAGCAGCAGUGGUGUCUGAGGACAGACCGUGGACAAAUUAAGUAGCUUGGGGCUUGUGGAGUUGUGAUGUCCAGGACAUGGGUGGCUAGAGCUGACAUAGGCAACAGUGGGCAUGACCUGUCCAUAUGGAUUCAGGACCUGCAUGAGAGAGUAGAGGCAGACGGUUGCUCUUGUACAUCCUGUGAUCUCUGGUUGGAAGAUGGACAUGUGCACAUGUUACAUACAGUGGAGGGAUGUGCGGAGUGUAGCAGGGGAAUGGGGUAGGGAGAGGGGAACAAUUCAUGCCUCUGAACCUUUGCACAUGCUGCUCCUUCUACCCAGGGGAGUUAAUGUGUGUUUUCUCCACCCAGAAGGAAUGGCAUGUGCAAAGGCUCAGAGGCAUGAAUUAUUGAGAGUUCAGUCUGGCUCUGGUGUCAGGUGAAUCAAAAGUCUGCAGGGCUUGAAACAGAGUAGGGGAAGCAUUGAACCUUCCUCAAGUCAGGAGGCACAGCAUCAUCUGGGUGCCAGCAAAGGAAAUCUGACAAACCUCACCUGUCAGGGGCCUUGUGCUGUGUGGAUCACCCUGCUUCCCUAAAAAUCUUUGAGGUUUCUUGGUAGUUUCCUGCUGUCCCUGAAGCUUGCUGGUCUUCCAGCCCCUGCAUCUGUGGCUGGUGGAUUCUCAAAAAAAAUCCAUGUUAAUAUCAAGCACAAAACUUAAUUGGGAAGAGGGGUCUCCUGUUCUCCCCCCAUUGCUAAUUGAUACCAGAAAAGCUGCUUCUGUCCUUCAUUUAGGCAGAUAAUUGAGAACUUGUUUGCUUAAAGGCAACUGAUUUUGACUUUAUGCCUAUAGGUGCCAGAUAUUUUUCAUGCAUCAAUUCAUUUAAUUUCCAUGCCGAUCCUGCAAGUACGUCCUAUUUUCCGAUCUUAUCGAUGAGGAAAUUGAGUCUCAGAGACUUAUCCAAGGGCACUGUGUUUGUAAGUGGCAGGAUUUGAACCCGGCAGGCCCUGAGAUCUUUCUGCAGUCCCGUGCUCCCCUCCUUUAUGCGGUUUUCCUUUUCCCUUUGAGGAGGGGAGGGAGAGAUUCAUCACAUGCCUGGAAUCUCAGCACACUUUGCCUUUCUUAGUUCGGAGUUAAUGUAUGUUUUUUUAAUUCAGUGUUGGCAAGGCCCAGUCUGGUCAUAGCUGGGUUUGUUACCUUGUGGCUCAGGGGCAAGGAUGAGAAUAGAAUUCUGGUACCCACACGGGCUCCCUAGGCCUGGUGUCAGGAAAGAGCUAAUACUAAUGGCUCAUAAUUGCAGAGUGGCAGGCACCUUGGUAGUGCAUGGCUCGUGGGAGCUUUCUCAGUUCUCAGCUACUCCAAGAGGUGGGGUGCAUCAUUAUCUCUGUUUUGCCUCCAUUGAACUUGCCCAGGGUUGAGCAACCAAGAGUUAGAAGCACCACAUUCUGCUCGCCCCGGAGUCCUGCCUCUCCACUCUUGUGUCUUUCCUUGAGCAGCGCCAACCCUCCCAGGGCCUGGCCCGGCUGUGCCUUUGACAGCCCCUAGCAGCAGUGCCCAUAUGCUAUGGAAAAUGGGGAAGGAUAAUUGACCACUUGGCCACAGGCCCAGGGUCUGCCCACCUCUUGGUUAGAGCCAGCACUGAGCUCCCUGCCAUGGGGUUCAUCUUCCCACUGGCCUGUUGGUUGAGAGGAUGGUCUCAGACCAGGCCCCAACACCACCUUCUUGCAGAUACAUCCCCAGUCCAGGGCAGUGCAGGUGGUUUGUGAUGGUGCCAGCCCAUGUUGGCAUGUUGGGCCCAAGAUGAGGUGGCAUUUCUGAGUUUUGGAACCCCUCUUUCUCCUUGAGAGCCUGGCCCCAGAGUGCCCUCCUCUCUGUAAAAGUCCUGGUUCUAGUCGCUGGCUGAUUGGUAUGCAUCCCAGAAUCCCGGCCAUUAGCAUACAAGGCGGGAGCCAGCUCUCAUUACUCCCCUCUCUUCAUUGUUUGAAGUGGGCAGACUUGGAGUGAGCUUUGGAAAUGUGGGCUUUUUAUUCAAUUUCCCUAGAAAAACAAUGGUUAAAUUAAGUAGGAAAAUAACAGUCUCCCGAAAUUGAAGAAAAAUAUUCCUGAACCUAGACAUUACCCACAACCUUUGAAUUUCUUUUAAAACAGGCAUUUGUUUUACUUUAAGUUAUACAUGUAUCGCAUGACCACUGAAGAAAACACAGAGAAAAUACAGAGAGAAGAAAAUGGAAAUCAUUUUGCCACCUGAAGACAGCCUCUCUCAAUAUUGUGGUGCAUAUCAUUCAUGUAUUCAGUGAUUCAUUUACUCAUUUGGCAAGUAUCUAUUUAGGGCCCACAAAGGGAGAGGCUGUGUUGGGUUCUGGGAGUAGACGCUGGGAGUAGAGGGGUACCCUGCUCCCUGCUGGGGCUCUUUCUAUGUUGGGCCUUGGGCAACUCACUUGACCCUUCUCUUAUCUGUUUUCUCAUCUGUGGAAUAGGGAUAACACUAGUAGCUGUGUCAUAAGGCAUGGAGAUUUGACAAGAAAGGGCAGGUAGGAUGCUCAUGAUAUUGCGUGGCCCAGGUCAAAGCUUAGUAAUGUUGGCUUUUGUCAUGUAGGGGAGGAAUAUCUUUUCUUCUACCCUGUUAGGUUCUGUGAUAGAGCCUAUGAAUUAAACUGACAAAAGACAGAUUAAUAGGAGAAAAGGCAUAUAGAUUUUAUUUAAUGUUACUAUAUAUAUGUAUUUUUUUACUGUAAGGGGUCUCCAUAGAAAAGAAAUGAAAAUCCAAAGAGGCAGUUAGACCCAGGAGCUUACGUAACAUUUUAACAAAGGGCGAUAAAUUGUGGAGAAGUGAGGAGACAAAAGAAAAGUAUUGGACUCUUAGGGGUCAGUAAAUUUCAGGAAAGUGACUAGGAAAUGUAUGGUAGAUAAGGGUGGUUUAGUAAGGUUUGUUAUGCAGAUAAAGUAAGGUAGAGGGGUACACCUUUGCAAAUGGAAAUUUAUGUCACCUUUACAAAGGGAAAUGUGUGCCCUGCUUUUAGGCAGAAAAGGGGAGGCAAAGAGCUCUUCCUGUAUUGGCUGCUGCUCAAGUACCUUGAGCUCAAAAUAAUUCUUUUUUUUUUUUUUUUUUUUUUUUUGAGACAGCAUCUUGCUCUGUUGCCCAGGCUGGAGUGCAAUGGUCUUGGCUCACUGCAUCCUCUGCCUCCUGGGUUCAAGCAAUUCUCCAGCCUCAGCCUCCUGAGUAGAUGGGAUUACAGGGGCUGAGGCAGGAGAAUUGCUCGAACCCAGGAGGGUGGAGGUUGCAGUGAGCUGAGACUGUGCCAUUGCAGUAUAGUGUGGGCAACGAGAGUGAAACUCCAUCUCAAAAACGAAAAAAAAAAAGCCAAAAAACCCCAAAGAAGUCCAAGGGGGUAGUGAGGGCCUCUGGGCUGGAGAUGCAAACUUGGGCAUCCUUAACAUAUAAAGGGGACAGGUGUGACCACCCAGAGAGACAAUUCAGAGGAGAGAUCCCUCCACAGGGAGGUGAGCUCUGGGAGCUCUUAUAUUUAUAGUCUGGUGGAGGAGGAGGAGCCAGGGCAGGCAGCCUGGGAGCUAGGGGAAGAUGGGUGCAAGGAACUUACCUUUAGUGCCAGGUGCUGAACUAAACACCUGGGGAGGAUCGGCCCCUGGUCCUCACGAUAAGUCUGUGAGGUGCAGGUGCUAUUAAGCGUCUCACCUUAUCGAAGCGGAAAGAGGCCCGGAGGUGACCCAGUGCACCUGCCAGCAGGUGCACGACUGUGUAGGGAGUGAGGAUUCACACCAAGGGGGGCAGUCCACCUCGUUUGCCCACGGCAUUCCCGUGUUGCAGAGGAGGAUUCCAAAGCUUGUGGUUUUGUUCAUUUGUUUUCAUUUGUCUGUCCUUGCAUUCCUCUCCUCCCAACACAUAUUUACUAAGCACCUACUGAAUGCUGUGCACUGGGCAAGGAACUGGAGAUUCCAAGAUGAGUAAGGUGUGGCGCCCCUUAAUCUGGUGAGGGAGGUGGAUGGGCAACAGCUGAAGGGUGGGCGGUGCCUGAUGCAGGUGGAGGGACUCCGAGGAGGCUUCCCAGGGGAGUGUCCAAGCCAAGCAGUGGAAAAGGCAGAGUUAGGUCAGGAAGCAGGAGGCAUCCAGGCAUGUGCCAAGGCUCAGGGGAGGGAAUAGCAGGGCCAUGUCAGGGAGGGUGCAGGAGGGUGCUGCUCAGGAGCUCUGUCCAUUGUACUAGGGGCUUGUACUUUAUCUUGUGGGCCCUGCGAGCCAGUCAACUGUUUCAAGCUAGGGGAUGACGGGAUUAGAACUUUUUGUUUGGGGUAGAGAUUGGGCUGCAAGGGACAGAAGAGUUACCAGGGAGAGCUUUCAAGGCUGUUAAAAGGCUCUCGAUUCCUAGGUCAUUCUCUGAACCCUGCUGCUUCCUUACUCCUUCCCAAAUUCUGCUCAUUUUUCUCUUCCAAAAAGAUUUCCGAGUCAGAGAGGUUAAGCAACUUGCCUGAGGUCUCCCAGCGUGCCAGGUCAUCCAGGCUGGGACUGGUCUUCUAACUAAAACAACCACAGUCCCAGGGGUGGAAGCGGAUGGUGAGUAACCCCAGGGAGCGGCUCACUGGAGGCUUGAGUUGAAGGUCACCGUCCACAGUCCCCGUGUGGCUUUAAACAUUGCCUUUUUGCAGUCUCAGAGAACAGUUGGUGCUUCUGGGCAGGAGGAGCUGGGC
rnacentral:lncRNA from 1 species